rnacentral:rRNA from 1 species
AGGCCCUUCGGGGUACACGAGCGGCGAACGGGUGAGUAACACGUGAGCAACCUGCCCCUGACUCUGGGAUAAGCGGUGGAAACGCCGUCUAAUACCGGAUACGACCCGCCACCUCAUGGUGGAGGGUGGAAAGUUUUUCGGUCAGGGAUGGGCUCGCGGCCUAUCAGCUUGUUGGUGGGGUAACGGCCUACCAAGGCGAUUACGGGUAGCCGGCCUGAGAGGGCGACCGGCCACACUGGGACUGAGACACGGCCCAGACUCCUGCGGGAGGCAGCAGUGGGGAAUAUUGCGCAAUGGGCGAAAGCCUGACGCAGCGACGCCGCGUGGGGGAUGACGGCCUUCGGGUUGUAAACCUCUUUUACCACCAACGCAGGCUCGAAGUUCUCUUCGGGUUGACGGUAGGUGGGGAAUAAGGACCGGCUAACUACGUGCCAGCAGCCGCGGUAAUACGUAGGGUCCGAGCGUUGUCCGGAAUUAUUGGGCGUAAAGAGCUCGUAGGCGGCGUGUCGCGUCUGCUGUGAAAGACCGGGGCUUAACUCCGGUUCUGCAGUGGAUACGGGCAUGCUAGAGGUAGGUAGGGGAGACUGGAAUUCCUGGUGUA